UACGAAGGGCCCGAGCGUUGCGCGGAAUCACUGGGCUUAAAGCGUGCGUAGGCGGGAUCGUAAGUGCCUUGUGAAAUCCCACGGCUCAACCGUGGAACUGCUGGGCAUACUGCGAUUCUUGAGUCCGAGAGGGGAUGCCGGAACUGUAGGUGUAGCGGUGAAAUGCGUAGAUAUCUACAGGAACGCCGAAGGUGAAGACAGGCAUCUGGUUCGGUACUGACGAUGAGGCACGAAAGCGUGGGGAGCAAACAGG
rnacentral:rRNA from 1 species